AUGAACGCUAGCUACAGGCUUACACAUGCAAGUCGAGGGGCAGCAUGGUCUUAGCUUGCUAAGGCCGAUGGCGACCGGCGCACGGGUGAGUAACACGUAUCCAACCUGCCGUCUACUCUUGGACAGCCUUCUGAAAGGAAGAUUAAUACAAGAUGGCAUCAUGAGUCCGCAUGUUCACAUGAUUAAAGGUAUUCCGGUAGACGAUGGGGAUGCGUUCCAUUAGAUAGUAGGCGGGGUAACGGCCCACCUAGUCUUCGAUGGAUAGGGGUUCUGAGAGGAAGGUCCCCCACAUUGGAACUGAGACACGGUCCAAACUCCUACGGGAGGCAGCAGUGAGGAAUAUUGGUCAAUGGGCGAGAGCCUGAACCAGCCAAGUAGCGUGAAGGAUGACUGCCCUAUGGGUUGUAAACUUCUUUUAUAAAGGAAUAAAGUCGGGUAUGGAUACCCGUUUGCAUGUACUUUAUGAAUAAGGAUCGGCUAACUCCGUGCCAGCAGCCGCGGUAAUACGGAGGAUCCGAGCGUUAUCCGGAUUUAUUGGGUUUAAAGGGAGUGUAGAUGGAUAUUUAAGUCAGUUGUGAAAGUUUGCGGCUCAACCGUAAAAUUGCAGUUGAUACUGGAUAUCUUGAGUGCAGUUGAGGCAGGCGGAAUUCGUGGUGUAGCGGUGAAAUGCUUAGAUAUCACGAAGAACUCCGAUUGCGAAGGCAGCCUGCUAAGCUGCAACUGACAUUGAGGCUCGAAAGUGUGGGUAUCAAACAGG
rnacentral:rRNA from 1 species